AUGACUUUUGAAGUUUGGUUAUUAUUUAUUAUAAGUUUUGCCUCAUUCCAGAUACUGAAAUUGAAUUCAAUUAUUUUCAUAUUAUUGGACACGGUGUAUUUGAAUCUUUUUGGUGUCUUAAUUAUUCAACAUGAUGACAAUGUUCUUCUUGUGCUUGAAUGCUUUUACUCUCAGUUGAUUCCAAAAUGCUGUUUUUGA